GUGUCAUUGCAAACGGUUUCGGCAAUGUAAGUGCGGCAAUAUGCAAUUUGUGUUCGGUCUCAUUUACAUUGUUGACAGCCGAAUUAAUGCCUUUUAUUACUCAUUUUGAUUUCUAUAAAGACACAUCAUUUUCGGCAUAAAAUCAGCAACGCAUCAGUUUCAACGAGCGCAUCAAGUGUAAUAGAUUGUUCUUCAAGAUGUUCGACCGACAAAGUGUAAUUUUUAUGCUGAUUAUCAGUGUUUCGAUUAUGAAUAUUGCAAGAUGUGAUUAUUAUCCUUGCGAAAUAAAUGUUAUCUCUCAGAAGCAGAAAUAUUUGAGUCGAAUCCGAGAAGUUGAUAAUAAUGUACAAGAAGACAAUAUUAAGACGUUAACAGCAUCCAAAUAUGGUGAAAGGAUAUGUGCAUACAUGGUUUUUAAAAACAAUCGAUCAUGUAUGCUGAACGAUUACAAGAAGGGCGGUAGCUCUUCCCGUUCUUAUAGCUGCAGUGCUGCUUGGAGCUACUAAGUUCGAAAUGAAAAGUCAGCGAAUUACGCACAAUGCAAUGUUUGGAAUUAAAAGAAAACUUUAUGUUCAAUAUUAUAAUAUGAUUAUAAUCAUAAUCUUUGGAAAAAUUCCCAAUGUAUAUAAAUUGGUAUUGAUAAGAUAAUAAGCAAUAAAAUAAAAUUAACAAGGAAUUCUUUUUUAUAAUUA